UACAGAGGGGGCAAGCGUUGUUCGGAAUUACUGGGCGUAAAGCGCGUGUAGGCGGCCAUGCAAGUCGGAUGUGAAAGCCCUCGGCUCAACCGGGGAAGUGCACUCGAAACUGCAAGGCUAGAGUCUCGGAGAGGAUCGUGGAAUUCUCGGUGUAGAGGUGAAAUUCGUAGAUAUCGAGAGGAACACCGGUGGCGAAGGCGGCGAUCUGGACGAUGACUGACGCUGAGACGCGAAAGCGUGGGGAGCAAACAGG
rnacentral:rRNA from 1 species